ACCGUACACACACAGCAGGGUAGGAACACACACCGUACACACACCAUACAUACACACACACACACCAUACAUACACACACACCUUCAGCCUCUCUCAAGUCAUUGGUAAAGAGGUGAAGGACCAUCAGCCUCUCUCAAGUCAUUGGUAAAGAGGUGAAGGACCAUCAGCCUCUCUCAAGUCAUUGGUAAAGAGGUGAAGGACCGUCAGCCUCUCUCAAGUCAUUGGUAAAGAGGUGAAGGACCGUCAGCCUCUCUCAAGUCAUUGGUAAAGAGGUGAAGGACCAUCAGCCUCUCUCAAGUCAUUGGUAAAGAGGUGAAGGACCAUCAGCCUCUCUCAAGUCAUUGGUAAAGAGGUGAAGGACCAUCAGCCUCUCUCAAGUCAUUGGUAAAGAGGUGAAGGACCAUCAGCCUCUCUCAAGUCAUUGGUAAAGAGGUGAAGGACCAUCAGCCUCUCUCAAGUCAUUGGUAAAGAGGUGAAGGACCAUCAGCCUCUCUCAAGUCAUUGGUAAAGAGGUGAAGGACCAUCAGCCUCUCUCAAGUCAUUGGUAAAGAGGUGAAGGACCAUCAGCCUCUCUCAAGUCAUUGGUAAAGAGGUGAAGGACCAUCAGCCUCCAUCUAUACACAAUGUUUCACUAAAUGUUUUGUUUACAUUACAUUUUUAUUUUUAAAAUAAACAACCGUUUUUUUUUUUAAAUCAAUCUGUCCAUUGACUUCAGUUAACUAGCUAACUGGCUAAAUCUGGCACACAAACUGCAAUGUUGAUUGAUAUUCAAAUGAAAAAAAAUGUAAUUUGUGCUACAAGGGUAGGCAACCCUGGUGGGUUGGAUUUAGCCAAUCACAGGGCUAUAGAUAUAUUUUAUUAGUUCCUGUUGUAUUCCAGGAACAGGGUUACCUUCCCCUGUACAGAAGAGAAUGUGAGGUAUUAUAAAAUAAUACCAGUUUUAUUUUUUAUAUUUUUUUCAUACUGUAAAUAAAAACCCUUUAUUUUAAUUCUUUACUAAA